CCUGUAUAUCUGCUUUACUCCUUGCCUGGGGCUGCAUUAAGAGUCUUCAUUUUUGCUGUAAGGAAGCUGUAGCAUCCACCAUGCACGUGGUUAGUCCCACUGAGAAGUUGAAGGUGGAAGAAGCCAUUACCUGUUCUGGGUGAGGGAAGAAGAAAUUUUUCUAUGGAACAUUCCCAAUGGUGACAUAUUGACAGACUCAGUUUACCUUGCCCUUGUCUCCUCCAUUGUUUUUUUUUUUUUGUCUGCAGCUUAUAAGUUCUGAACCUGGCUCUGAAGCAAAUCAGGAUCUUUACUUUCCAUGGGUCUUUACAAGGCUUGGAAGUCCCACAGCCUGGACCCUGGUGAUUAACGACACUGGGGCUUUCUCCAUUGUGCAAGCCACAGGAAGGAAGGAAAGGAAGGAAGGAAGGACACUUAACAGGAGAGGGUGUCCACGUGUUGGGCCCUUGCACUUCAAAUCCUCUUGGGAGGGAAGCUGAGUCCUUCAGUCCAGUCCCUAGCUGGAUUGGCUCCAGUUCUGGAUGGGGUUGUGACCUGGGUCGGGUCAUCAAGCUGUGACCCUGGGUCAUCUGGGCUUUGCUUUGAUGAUCUGUCACCACAUCAGCCAAGGCCCAAGGAACUACUGCUGAGGACCAGAGACAUAAUCUGCCAGGCCCACGCCCUAGAUCUUUCACUGGUAUCUCCAAGGGGGAAAAUACACCAACACAAAUCCCCAAAGCUGGUGGUUGUUUCCAGACACUUGUCAGGGAGGGACGAAUGUGUUUAAUGAGCACAGAAGUAGCCAGGCAACAUAGCUAUUUGAAGACAGGAGUUGGAUACUCCCCUUCACGUCCGGAACUUUAGUUAGAAGUAGGAAAUCUUGAGCAGACAGCUCUGCUUCCCUGUCUCCCUAUGGGUUGACAUUGAACUUCGUUCUACCAUGCUUCUUGGAGGGUCUGGGGGCAUAAAGACCCUUGGUCUCAGAGGUAACCUACUCAUUGUCAUCCCUGUUGGCUUUGCUCCCUUCCUUAAUUGAUUCACUCAUGCUUUCUGUAAUUUCUCCCCCUCCCCGAAGUGAGCUCACUCUACUCCCAAUCUCCAUGCCUGGCCUGCUUUGGGAAGUCUGAAUCAGGACUUGGGCUUCAUGACUUGGAUCUGCUGUUUUGUUCCAUGUCCCACCUGACUACCCUUCAGUCACUCUGCUUGAGAUCCCAAAGUAGCAUCUUCUUGUCACUCUCGGGAGACAGAGUCUCACUCUCUAGCCUAAGUCUUGCUCUGGGGACCAGGUAGGCCUGCAACUUGUGGCAAUCUCCCAUCUCUACUUCUCCCGGACCUUCAAAGUCAUUUGUCCCUGGUAUGAGUAGCUGCCGGGCCACCAUAGGACCUUGGGUAGUUUUCUGAAUUCUUACUGAGGCAGGGUAUGAAGCCAUCUACCAAUCUGCUUCUGAGUGUGACCAGAGAUGCCCCUGGAGGCUUUCUGUCUGCCUCCAGAGUCACCUCAGUGGGUGGAGACGUGUUGCAGUGGUUGCGGGCCCUGGCAUGUGAAGCCCAGAAACAGGGGUACUCCCUUGCCUGUGUCUGGUGUGUGCUCAUGUGAGCAAAGGCUGUUUCCAAAGACACAGGGCAUGUGCCCAAAGCUGUCCUGAUGGACAGCCUUCCUCAAGGGUCUUCCUUCACUUGCUCCAUGAGGUCCAGUGGUAGGAGUCAUGAAGGGACAGGAAAAAGUCAGGUGAGCAGAGGGACUUGGAGUCAGAACUGUACUGUCAGGUGGCCUGGCUCCUGGCUCCACCUUUUCCUGUGUGGGUGACAUUUUAGCAGUUCCUUAGCAUCUCUAUAUCUCAGUGUCUGCACCUGUAGCUUGGGGAACACUCACCGGUUUAUGCCACGAAGAUGGCAACUCACGGCAGCCAUCUCUGGACAGGGAGGUCUCCCUUGAUUGCUUCGCUGCCAGAUGUCCUUGGAAUUUCAGCUCUGGCUGAGGAGCUCGCUGGAAGGACUAGAUGGAGACUGUGAACAAUUUUUGCCCACAGCCCUUCCUCGUUCCUUACAAAGGGAUUCAUGCAGAGAUCACUGGCCAAGAGAACAGACAUGGGAUGGGCCUAGUGAAUUCGGAACCCUGGGUCAUCUCUUGUUCACCCCAUGACAUGGAACACACUAUAGAACAAUUAGGAAAUCCAGCCUCUGAGGGAGGAAAGCAGGGGGAUGCAAUAAACACAUUGACUCAUUGACUGAAUUCACUUCUUCAGACAGCAGCUAGGUCCAAAGGAGAUAAGUCUCCAUCAGGAUGCUGUAGAAGGACCAGGUUUGACUCAAGCAUGGAUGACCAUCACUCAGUUUGUUGUAGUCAUAUGGGCUCUGGGACAAGAUUGCCUGCCUUGAAAUCUCGGCUCUAUCUCUUAUUUGAAUCCAGAUAAACAGCUUAACUUCCUCUGUAAAGCACGGCAUGCUGAUUUGUGCGGACAUCUCGGAGAGCAACUUGUCCAGCAGAGUCUAAGAUGCUCAUACCAUGAAGCAGACGUUUCUUCUUUAGCUGCACACUCCAGUGGGACAUCUGCAUGUACAGGUAGACUUGGCUGCCAGUAUGGUCACUGCAGCACUGCCUGUGAAGCAGGAGACCUUGGACUCCAGGACUUCCUAACAGCACAGUGGAUAAAUAGAUUGUGGUGGAGUGACAUAAUGAAAUAGAAAACAGAGUGAACAAACAGCACUUCAAUGCUGACAGCACGGAGAAUCUGGAAAAGCAAGGUGGAGAAAGUUAAGUGCAUUAAGAUUGCUGUGAAAGUAAAUUGUGUACCUGUUCUCAUAAGGGUGAUAUUCUGUGACAUAAUUUGCAUAUUGUUUAUGGUCACCGCGGUACCUCCUCCAGCAGCUUGUGAACCUGUGACUCACAAUGGGUGCUUGGAACCACAAAUAACACUAAACUCUCACUAUGGUUGUCCUCCUUGCAAAGUACUCAGGAACUUUUUUAUUUUUUUUAUCUUUUCACUUGAAUGACUUCACAAGUUGUCUUUACGAUAUCUAAAAUCACUGGCGACUUUCCUUUUCUGUUUUAGGGACAUACAAUAAUGGUGACUUGAAUACAAGCCCUGUAAUACUGACAGUUGUUCUGAUAGCCAACUAAAGUCACCAAAGUGUGGAUGUGGAUUGGCAUCAAGAUGGAAACGACUAUGCCACGGUGAGAUUUUAUCACCGUGUUCCCCAAAAUGCACAAUCUAAGGCUCGGGAAUAGAUUAUGUCUGGAAAGUUUCACCGGGAUGUGCUAUGUGUUCCAGUUUCCCUUUUGCUGUUGUGAUAAAACACUCUGACCAAAAGUA